GUGCUCACGUCGGCAGCACAUAAACUAAAAUUGGAACAACACAUAGAUUAGUGCGGCCCCUGCACAAUGAUGACACGAAAAUUCUUAAAGCCUUCCAUAUUUUU
rnacentral:snRNA from 1 species